rnacentral:rRNA from 1 species
GUCUCAGUUCGGAUUGGAGUCUGCAACCCGACUCCAUGAAGCUGGAAUCGCUAGUAAUCGCAGGUCAGCACACUGCGGUGAAUACGUUCCCGGGUCUUGUACACACCGCCCGUCACACCAUGGGAGCCGGAAAUGCCCGAAGCCAGUGACCCAACCUUAGGGAGGGAGCUGUCGAAGGUGGAGCCGGUAACUGGGGUGAAGUCGUAACAAGGUAGC